rnacentral:rRNA from 1 species
GAGCUGGGGGUGGUCGCAGAGACCAGAGAGAAGCGACUGUUUACUAAAAACACAGGUCCGUGCGAAGUCGUAAGACGAUGUAUACGGACUGACGCCUGCCCGGUGCUGGAAGGUUAAGAGGACCGGUUAGCGGAGCAAUCCGCGAAGCUGAGAAUUUAAGCCCCAGUAAACGGCGGUGGUAACUAUAACCAUCCUAAGGUAGCGAAAUUCCUUGUCGGGUAAGUUCCGACCUGCACGAAUGGCGUAACGACUUCUCUGCUGUCUCGACCACAGACUCGGCGAAAUUGCAUUACGAGUAAAGAUGCUCGUUACGCGCGGCAGGACGAAAAGACCCCGGGACCUUCACUAUAGCUUGGUAUUGGUGUUCGGUUCGGUUUGUGUAGGAUAGGUGGGAGACUGUGAAGCUCAUACGCCAGUAUGGGUGGAGUCGUUGUUGAAAUACCACUCUGAUCGUAUUGGACCUCUAACCUCGGACCAUGAUCUGGUUCAGGGACAGUGCCUGGUGGGUAGUUUAACUGGGGCGGUUGCCUCCCAAAAUGUAACGGAGGCGCCCAAAGGUUCCCUCAGCCUGGUUGGCAAUCAGGUGUCGAGUGCAAGUGCACAAGGGAGCUUGACUGUGAGACUGACAGGUCGAGCAGGGACGAAAGUCGGGACUAGUGAUCCGGCACCGGCAUGUGGAAGCGGUGUCGCUCAACGGAUAAAAGGUACCCCGGGGAUAACAGGCUGAUCUUCCCCAAGAGUCCAUAUCGACGGGAUGGUUUGGCACCUCGAUGUCGGCUCGUCGCAUCCUGGGGCUGGAGUAGGUCCCAAGGGUUGGGCUGUUCGCCCAUUAAAGCGGCACGCGAGCUGGGUUUAGAACGUCGUGAGACAGUUCGGUCUCUAUCCGCCGCGCGCGUUAGAAACUUGAGGAAGGCUGUCCCUAGUACGAGAGGACCGGGACGGACGAACCUCUGGUGUGCCAGUUGUCCCGCCAGGGGCAUGGCUGGUUGGCUACGUUCGGAAGGGAUAACCGCUGAAAGCAUCUAAGCGGGAAGCCUGUUCCAAGAUGAGGUUUCUCACCCCCUCGAGGGGGUAAGGCCCCCGGCAGACCACCGGGUUGAUAGGCCGGAACUGGAAGCCCAGCAAUGGGUGGAGGUGACCGGUACUAAUAGGCCGAGGACUUACCACG